UAUUUAUCUAUCUAUUAGAUAUGAUUAUUUCAGAAACGUCAUCUCCCUGAUAAGUUUGUCGGUUUGGUGACAGCUUGGAAUUACUACGCCGACUUGAUUGCAGCUAAUGAUGCGCGAGUUGAGGCCUAUGAUGGUUGGGAUAAUCUUUUCUUUAUUAAUCCUGGCCUUUACGUGGCUUCCAUUGAGCUGGAGACUAUCCUUAGGAUUUUGAAGUUUACUCAAGUCAUUGUGAUGACCACGCGAAGAGUCCGAGGAAAGGUUUUACAAAUUGUCGGGUUAUGCUGAAGUUUUUGUUGAACAAGUUGUAGCUACUGAAGAGUCUGCUGAAGAGUUUCAAGCUGUUGAACAUCUUCCUGUCCGGUUUGAUGCAGCUUGUGCUGUCAUCCACUUCCUGAUGUCUCUGCUCUCCUCAAGGUCUCUCCUUGGGAAUGUCACGCACUACAAAAAACAUGUGUUUUGAAUCAUUUAUUUUAUAUAUUUGUAUUACUUAUAAUUGAUGCAAAUUAAUUUUACAUCAUUUAGUUAAGUGA